rfam:Triticum urartu cultivar G1812 contig643744, whole genome shotgun sequence.
CUUGUACUCCCUCCGUCCGAAAAUACUUGUCAUUGAAAUGGAUGUAUCUAGAUGUAUUUUAGUUCUAGACACAUCCAUUUUGAUGACAAGAAUUCCGGAUGGAGGGAGUACUUG